GAAAUCUCAUUUGUUCUGUAAGUGCAUGUGUUUUUACUCUGUACGUUUCGGAAGCAGUUUAAAUGGCAGUAAAUUGAAUGAACUAAGUCAUGAAUGCUUUCUAGGAGUGAACAAGGAACUGAACAAGCACCUGCAACAACUGGUUAAAGAUAAGAGAAUGUAGAAGGGUGACUGGAAGACAUCGGUGAUGUUGUUCCAGAUACAGAAACCAACUCAGCUACAAAAAGUGAUGGAACAGUUGAAUAAAGAAAUUACGUGUGCUUGGAAGGAGGAGGCGGUGCUACAGAGUGAAGAUGUGCUACAGGGCUCCAUGGUAUAGAAGAGAAUAUUGGACAAAUAGAAUGUUGGACAAACUAAUAUGGCUACUAAGGCUUACUAAAUGCCAUAAAUGAAAGCUAAGAAAGAGGAUUUAAGAUUGGGGGCUGACAAAUAGAAGAGAAUGUUGGACAAGCUAUCCUUUACUACUCGUACCAAGGCAGAUAUGAUGAAGAAGAAUCAGAUUGCAUCAGGUGGGGAAGCCAGGCAUGUUGACUGCUGACAGAUUAGAAACCAUUUAAAAGAAUGGUUUAAAUCCCCCAAGAGUAUGGUACACACUAUUAGUUUAAAAGGAGGAGGAUCGGCUAACAUCAGUCUUUUCACAACAAAGGCUGUGACAGAGUUGCAGAACAAACUGUACGUUAGACACUUGAGGUGCAACAAAAGGAUUAAGGAAAUGAUGUUAACAGCUCCUGAGCUGCUUUCCACAGCAUUUCUAUUGGUUUGAAAGUCUCUUAAAAAUGUAUGUAUGUAACGACUGAUUUCAGUAUCAGCCCCACGUUCUUGAAAACGAACUUCAACAAAAAUAAAGAAUUCACAGCCUA